UACGUAGGGACCAAGCGUUGUUCGGAUUUACUGGGCGUAAAGGGCGCGUAGGCGGCUUAACAAGUCACUUGUGAAAUCUCCGGGCUUAACUCGGAACGGCCAAGUGAAACUGUCAAGCUAGAGUGCAGAAGGGGCAAUCGGAAUUCUCGGUGUAGCGGUGAAAUGCGUAGAUAUCGAGAGGAACACCUGCGGCGAAGGCGGGUUGCUGGGCUGACACUGACGCUGAGGCGCGAAAGCGAGGGGAGCGAACGGG
rnacentral:rRNA from 1 species